CUCUUUUUGAAUAUAAUUUAAAGUUGGGCCUGCCCACUGAAUAAAUUGAAGGGCCGCAGUAUUUUGACUGUGCAAAGGUAGCAUAAUCAUUAGUUUUUUAAUUGAAAGCUUGUAUGAAUGGUUUGAUGAAAAAAUUUCUGUCUCAAUAUUAUUUUUUUAGAAUUUUAUUUUUAAGUUAAAAAGCUUAAAUUUUAUAAAAAGACGAGAAGACCCUAUAGAGUUUAAUUUUAAAAAUUUAUUUUUAUUUAAGAAUUUUAUAUAAUAAUUAUUUUUUAGAAUUGUGUUGGGGUGAUUGAAAAAUUUAAGAAACUUUUUUUUUGUAAAACCAUUAAUUUAUGAAUUUUUGAUCCAUAUUAAUGAUUAAAAGAAAAAAUUACCUUAGGGAUAACAGCGUAAUUUUUUUUAAAAGUUCUUAUUAAAAAAAAAGAUUGCGACCUCGAUGUUGGAUUAAAAUUUAAUUUUGGUGUAGAAGCUAAAAUUUUAGGUCUGUUCGACCUUUAAUAUUUUACAUGAUCUGAGUUU
rnacentral:rRNA from 1 species